GGGUUGUGAGGUUAAGUGACUAAGCGUACACGGUGGAUGCCUAGGCAGUCAGAGGCGAUGAAGGACGUGCUAAUCUGCGAUAAGCGUCGGUGAGCUGAUAUGAAGCAUUAUUAGCCGGCGAUGUCCGAAUGGGGAAACCCAGUGCAAUCCGUUGCACUAUCGUUAAGUGAAUACAUAGCUUAACGAGGCGAACCAGGGGAACUGAAACAUCUAAGUACCCUGAGGAAAAGAAAUCAACCGAGAUUCCCCUAGUAGCGGCGAGCGAACGGGGAAGAGCCCAGAACCUGAAUCAGUUUGUGCAUUAGUGGAAGCGUCUGGAAAGUCGCGCGAUACCGGGUGAUAGCCCCGUACACGAAGGUGCACAGCUGUGAGUUCGAUGAGUAGGGCGGGACACGUGUUAUCCUGUCUGAAUAUGGGGGGACCAUCCUCCAAGGCUAAAUACUCCUGACUGACCGAUAGUGAACCAGUACCGUGAGGGAAAGGCGAAAAGAACCCCGGCGAGGGGAGUGAAAUAGAACCUGAAACCGUGUACGUACAAGCAGUGGGAGCAUCCUUCGGGGUGUGACUGCGUACCUUUUGUAUAAUGGGUCAGCGACUUAUAUUUUGUAGCAAGGUUAACCGAAUAGGGGAGCCGUAGGGAAACCGAGUCUUAACUGGGCGUCUAGUUGCAAGGUAUAGACCCGAAACCCGGUGAUCUAGCCAUGGGCAGGUUGAAGGUUGGGUAACACUAACUGGAGGACCGAACCGACUAAUGUUGAAAAAUUAGCGGAUGACUUGUGGCUGGGGGUGAAAGGCCAAUCAAACCGGGAGAUAGCUGGUUCUCCCCGAAAGCUAUUUAGGUAGCGCCUCGUGAAUUCAUCUUCGGGGGUAGAGCACUGUUUCGGCUAGGGGGUCAUCCCGACUUACCAACCCGAUGCAAACUACGAAUACCGAAGAAUGUUAUCACGGGAGACACACGGCGGGUGCUAACGUCCGUCGUGAAGAGGGAAACAACCCAGACCGCCAGCUAAGGUCCCAAAGUCAUGGUUAAGUGGGAAACGAUGUGGGAAGGCAUAGACAGCCAGGAUGUUGGCUUAGAAGCAGCCAUCAUUUAAAGAAAGCGUAAUAGCUCACUGGUCGAGUCGGCCUGCGCGGAAGAUGUAACGGGGCUAAACCAUGCACCGAAGCUGCGGCAGCGACACUAUGUGUUGUUGGGUAGGGGAGCGUUCUGUAAGCCUGUGAAGGUGGCCUGUGAGGGCUGCUGGAGGUAUCAGAAGUGCGAAUGCUGACAUAAGUAACGAUAAAGCGGGUGAAAAGCCCGCUCGCCGGAAGACCAAGGGUUCCUGUCCAACGUUAAUCGGGGCAGGGUAAGUCGACCCCUAAGGCGAGGCCGAAAGGCGUAGUCGAUGGGAAACAGGUUAAUAUUCCUGUACUUGGUGUUAUUGCGAAGGGGGGACGGAGAAGGCUAGACCGGCCGGGCGACGGUUGUCCCGGUUUAAGCGUGUAGGUGUGAUGACCUGGCAAAUCCGGUUAUCUUUAACACUGAGGCGUGAUGACGAGGCACUACGGUGCUGAAGUGGUUAAUGCCCUGCUUCCAGGAAAAGCCUCUAAGCUCUAGAUAACACUGAAUCGUACCCCAAACCGACACAGGUGGUCAGGUAGAGAAUACCAAGGCGCUUGAGAGAACUCGGGUGAAGGAACUAGGCAAAAUGGUGCCGUAACUUCGGGAGAAGGCACGCUGGCAUGUAGGUGAAGUCCCUCGCGGAUGGAGCUGAAGCCAGUCGAAGAUACCAGCUGGCUGCAACUGUUUAAUAAAAACACAGCACUCUGCAAACACGAAAGUGGACGUAUAGGGUGUGACGCCUGCCCGGUGCUGGAAGGUUAAUUGAUGGGGUCAGCCGCAAGGCGAAGCUCUUGAUCGAAGCCCCAGUAAACGGCGGCCGUAACUAUAACGGUCCUAAGGUAGCGAAAUUCCUUGUCGGGUAAGUUCCGACCUGCACGAAUGGCGUAAUGAUGGCCAGGCUGUCUCCACCCGAGACUCAGUGAAAUUGAACUCGCUGUGAAGAUGCAGUGUACCCGCGGCAAGACGGAAAGACCCCGUGAACCUUUACUAUAGCUUGACACUGAACAUUGAACCUUGAUGUGUAGGAUAGGUGGGAGGCUUUGAAGUGUGGACGCCAGUCUGCAUGGAGCCGACCUUGAAAUACCACCCUUUAAUGUUUGAUGUUCUAACCUGGUCCCGUAAUCCGGGAUAGGGACAGUGUCUGGUGGGUAGUUUGACUGGGGCGGUCUCCUCCCAAAGAGUAACGGAGGAGCACGAAGGUUAGCUAAUCCUGGUCGGACAUCAGGAGGUUAGUGCAAAGGCAUAAGCUAGCUUGACUGCGAGAGUGACGGCUCGAGCAGGUGCGAAAGCAGGUCUUAGUGAUCCGGUGGUUCUGAAUGGAAGGGCCAUCGCUCAACGGAUAAAAGGUACUCCGGGGAUAACAGGCUGAUACCGCCCAAGAGUUCAUAUCGACGGCGGUGUUUGGCACCUCGAUGUCGGCUCAUCACAUCCUGGGGCUGAAGUAGGUCCCAAGGGUAUGGCUGUUCGCCAUUUAAAGUGGUACGCGAGCUGGGUUUAGAACGUCGUGAGACAGUUCGGUCCCUAUCUGCCGUGGGCGUUGGAAGAUUGAGAGGGGCUGCUCCUAGUACGAGAGGACCGGAGUGGACGCACCGCUGGUGUUCGGGUUGUGAUGCCAAUUGCAUUGCCCGGUAGCUACGUGCGGAAGAGAUAAGCGCUGAAAGCAUCUAAGCGCGAAACUUGCCUCGAGAUGAGUCUUCCCUUGGACCUUGAGUCCACUGAAGGAACGUUUAAGACUAAGACGUUGAUAGGCUGGGUGUGUAAGCGUAGCGAUACGUUGAGCUAACCAGUACUAAUGAUCCGUGAGGCUUAACCUUACAACACCGAAGGUGUUU
rnacentral:rRNA from 1 species